rnacentral:rRNA from 1 species
AGGAAUAUUGGACAAUGGAGGCAACUCUGAUCCAGCCAUGCCGCGUGAAGGAAUAAGGCCCUAUGGGUUGUAAACUUCUUUUAGACGGGACAAAACCCCUUUACGUGUAAAGGGUUGAUGGUACUGUCAGAAUAAGCAUCGGCUAACUUCGUGCCAGCAGCCGCGGUAAUACGAAGGAUGCAAGCGUUAUCCGGAAUUAUUGGGGUUAAAGGGUGCGUAGGCGGACUAAUAAGUCAGUGGUGAAAGCCUGCAGCUUAACUGCAGAAUUGCCAUUGNUACUGUUAGUCUUGAGUACAGUUGAGGUAGGCGGAAUGUGUCAUGUAGCGGUGAAAUGCUUAGAUAUGACACAGAACACCGAUUGCGAAGGCAGCUUGCUAAGCUGUAACUGACGCUGAGGCACGAAAGCGUGGGGAGCAAACA